UACGAAGGGUGCAAACGUUGCUCGGAAUUAUUGGGCGUAAAGCGCACGUAGGCGGCUUGGCAAGUCGGAUGUGAAAGCCCUCGGCUCAACCAAUGAAGUGUAUCCGAAACUGCUGAGCUUGAGUACUUAAGAGGAUCGCGGAAUUCCCGGUGUAGAGGUGAAAUUCGUAGAUAUCGGGAGGAACACCAGUGGCGAAGGCGGCGAUCUGGGCUGAUACUGACGCUGAGGUGCGAAAGCGUGGGGAGCAAACAGG
rnacentral:rRNA from 1 species